CACAAUUUCAACUUUCUCCCCUCUCUGCAAAAUCCAUCUUAAUUACCUCUUCCAUCACUGCCUAUGGCGGCUUUUGGUGCUGUGACCAUUUUAAUGGACACACUCCAUCGAAACUUCCUCCAAUCUACACCUCUUUUCCCUCUUCGCAACAAAACAAAGGUCUCUUCUCUUUACAGCAAUCUCUCUUCUUUGCAAACCUCUCUUGAAGAAGAUUUCUGUAUCAGGGUGGGGGAGUACGAUGAGGCAAUGAAAGGGUUAGAGGCACAACUGAGAGAUGUGUCGGUUGAACUAAGGUUCCAAAUAGAACACCAAUUGAGAUUGUUUUACCUGGGGAAAUCCAUGAAGCUUAGGCUUCACUCUGCUCAAAAGCUUCUUCCCAUUUUGAAAGAAGCAAUUAAAGGCGGCAUAGAAACUAUGGAUUUCAAUUCUGUGAUGGAGAUCCUGGGGAAGCACUUCACUCUGCCGGUAUCAGGCAUGCCGCCUCAUAUAUACAAAAGGGUCAAAUCUUUUUGCAGGCAGCAUCAAUUCUUUCUCUAUGGAAAACAAGAGAGUAAGGAUGAUGAGCAAGCCAGUGAUGAUGAUGAUGAAGAAGAGAGCAAGAAUGGAGAACAGAUUGAUGAUGAAGAAGAGAGCAAGAAUGGACAACAGAUUGAUGAUGAACAAGAGAGCAAGAAUGGGGAACAGAUUGAUGAUGAACAAGAGAGCAGGAAUGGAGAACAGAUUGAUGAUGAACAAGAGAGCAAGAAUGGACAACAGAUUGAUGACGAGGAAUGCCGGCUCCUGGUGAACAUCGUAAUACGGUACUUCAUAGGGUCCGUAUGGCGCGUGUCGUCUCAAAUAAAGAAAAAGGUGAAAUCUUGUUUCAGGCGGGAAAGGAAAAUCGAUGAGGUAGAGAUAAGGAGGUAUAUGUUGUUGUAUGAAGCAGAAAGUGUAAUCAGACAAGAAGUGAGAGCCUCUUAUCUCAAUAAAUACAUGAAACAACGGAUACAGGCUACACAAAGGAUUCGUCAACUCUUCAUCCAAGGAAUUAGCCUCACAUCUUCCAUCAACAAACAGAUGUUGAAGGUUAAGAAUGCAUACCACCAAUCCAACAACAACAAUCCUGCUUCUCUAAGAGGGCUGGAACUCGAUACCAUUACGGUUGGUGAUUCAAAGUCUACAAUCAAAAUGGUGGGCUGCGAUGAUGUGUUCAACACCAUAAUGGACAACUUGAGGCAGCAUUCCUCAAAACGAGAAAUUGUCUCGACUGUGGGAAUGGGUGGUAUCGGUAAAACCACCUUAGCUAGAAAGAUUUAUGAAGAUGCUUCAAUCAUUUCUUACUUCGAUUGUCGAGCUUGGGUUACUAUCUCACAGGAUUAUAAUCGAACACAAGUGUUCCAAUGCCUGCUUCGUUCUCUUGACCCUGCAGAGGCCAGCCACAACAAUACAGGUUUGGCUGAGAAAGUAUACAAGUCUAUAAAAGAUCAAAGGUAUUUGAUUGUAGUAGAUGAUAUUUGGAGUACAAAUGUCUGGGAUGAUUUAAUGAGGUGUUUUCCGGAUGACAAUAUUGGAAGUCGAAUAUUGUUGACCACUCGACACAAAAAUGUGGCUGAGUAUGCUGAUUCAGGUAAUCAUUUUUGCCAUACCUUACCUUUUUUGGAUUCAAAUGAAAGUUGGGAUCUUUUUCAGAGUAAGGUGUGUAAAAGAUCAAUAACUCUACUGUCUCCUGAAUUUGAAAAAAUUGGUAGAGAGAUAGUAGACAAGUGCAAAGGAUUACCUCUUGCAAUUACUGUGGCCGCUGGAUUCCUCUCAAACUCCAACCAAACCUUUAUUCAUGAAUGGGAGCAUAUUGCAAAAUGUGUCCUUGCUUUGAGUUUAGAUCAUUCUAAUCAGCAGGGUGAGAAGAUCAUUGAAUUGAGUUACACCUUCUUGCCUCAUCAUCUUAAACUUUGUUUUUUGUCAUUUGGGUGUUUUCCAGAAGACUGUAAGAUUUAUGAAAGUAAGAUUGUUAAUUUUUGGAUUUCAGAGGGAUUUCUAAAAGUUUUGAGGUCUAAGAGCUUGGAAGAUGUAGCAAGAAAAAAUUUACAAGUUCUUGUGGAUAGAAAUCUUGUUCUAAGUUAUGGAGAUGGAGAUGAUAUAGAAUUCUAUCAAAUGCAUGAUGUCUUGCGUGAAUUGGCUUUGAGAGAAGCCCAAAAAGAAAAUCUUUUAUGUUUCAAGAAGGGUUAUGUUAUAAGUUUGAGAUGGAAGAGAAAUGAAUCAAUAAAGUCUUCCCAUAUAUCUCAACCAUGGAGUAUCCAAUCAAGAAUUUGCAGUUACAACAGUAUAACUCCUACUACCAACACUUCUUCACUGAUUGAUAAUUUGUACUGGACUUCAAGACAGGUGGGGGUGCAUGCACAUUUUAAGUUUUUAAGGGCAUUGGAAGUAGUCAGUGAGAUGAUAAAUGUCCAUAAUAUUUUUUUGGAGAUUGUGGGUCUAGUGCAUCUGAGAUUGUUAAGUAUUCGUUGUGGGUUGAAUAUUCGUUGUCUGCCUUUGUUCAUGUUGCGUAAUCUACAGAAACUAGAAGUUAUUUGUGAUUAUUUAUCAUGUGAACCCCUUGAUAUUUGGGGAUUACCUCAAUUGAAGAAUAUCACAAUUUGGGGCAUUACACUACUUCCUCCAAGAUCGGUUCAUUAUAAUUUGGAGAGCAUUUAUAGUUUGGAUUAUAGGAGUUGUACAAAGGAGUUGUUCCUGAGGAUCCCAAAUCUAAGGGAAUUGAAUGUUACUACUAAUUAUAAAAUUAAAUACAAAGCUCCCAAUUGGUCUGAAAGUCUUGUCUAUUUAUAUAAAGUGGAAGCACUAGUGGUUAAGGCCGAACUUGGGGAGUUUAGUACUAUUUAUUCUAUGAAGAUGCUAAGCCUAGAGAAUUUUUUGCCAAAUCUUAAGGAGUUAAAUUUGUCUAAUACAAAUUUAAAAUGGAAGGAUAUGGAUGUUGUUGGUAAGUUGUCUAAGCUUGUGGACCUCAGAUUGCAAGAUGUUAAGGAUCAAAUAUGGAAACCUAAAGAUGGAGGAUUUCGUCGAUUAAGGUUCUUGGAGAUAUUUUCGAGUCCUCUACAAUAUUGGGAAGCCACUAGUAAUCAUUUUCCAGUCCUUGAAAAGCUAGUCCUUGGUGAUAUAAAGUUGAAAGAAAUUCCUAGUGAUUUUGCAGGAAUAACUACUCUAAAACAAUCAAGUUAUGUUAUGGUUAUUUAGAGUCACUUAUAUCAUCUGCUAAGCGUAUUCAAAAAGAGCAACAAGAGUAUGGAAACGACACAGUUGUUAUUUAAAUUUCCGGAUGGCGGUAGCUAGGUUGCCCAGAGGUUGGCAAUUAGUGAAGAAAAUGCCAAAAAUUCACAUUAGCUACUGCUUUACAUUAUGCUUCCAUGACGUCAAUUCUAAUGGGAUCUACAUCUCAUUACCACACACAACAGCCUUUGCCAUCAUUGAAUUGAAUUGAAGCGCUAAUUGGGGUUAUCUGUUCAUAAGUUCCAUGAAGAUGAGAUAGAUGCAGCCAACGCACCACACAUCUACUAUACAGCAGCAAUCUGAAGCCUUCAACAGAGCAGAAGCUCCAUCGGUCCGCCCCCUGCUGGAGAUUUUGAGUUGAUAAGUUGCGGAAUGAAAUAAAUUGAGAGUAUUUUGUACGUGCAUUGAAGAAUUUGGGUCGACGCUAACGCUGGCAUGAGGGCAAAUCAAGAUUCAAUGACGGAAGCAUCAAGAAUUUCUAGUGAUUUUGCAAAUAUAGUUACUCUCAAAUCAAUCAAGUUUUUGGUAUAAGAGAGAAAGAGAUAGUGAUAAAGUCAAAAGUUGAAAACAAUUAUGACCAUGGUGAGGAAUUGGGUACUAGAGUACUAGAGUACGAACCAAUUGGCUCGUGAGCAAGUAUACAGGCUUCUAAAACAUCGAAGGUAUUUGAUCGUAGUAGAUGAUAUUUGGAGUAAAGAUGUUUGAGAUGAUUUAAUGAGAUGUUUUCCGGAUGACAAUAUUGGAAGUCGAAUAUUGUUGACCACUUGGCAAAAAAAUGUGGCCGAGUAUGCUGGGCAAAAAAAUGUGGCCGAGUAUGCUGAUUCAGAACUAGCUGAGAUUGUCUGUUCAUAAGUUCCAUGAAGAUAAGAUGAGAUGAGAUGAGAUAGAUGCAACCAACACACCACACAUCUACUAUACAACAGCACUGUAAUCUGAAGCCUUCAACAGAGCCGAAGCUCGGUCCCCUGCUGGAGGUUUUGAGUUGAUAAGUUGCGGUCUUGCGGAAUGGAGUAAAUUAAGAGUAUUUUGUACGUACAUUGAAGAAUUCGGGUUGACACUAAUGCUGGCAUGAAGGCAAAUCAAUAUUCAAUGACGGAAGCAUCAAGGAUUUCUAGUGGUUUUGCAAAUAUAUUUACUCUAAAAUCAAUCAAGUUUUUGGUAUAAGAGAGACAACAUUAGUUGCUUCUGGUGAUUCAUGUUUGUUCGAGAAUAAUAUAUGUUUUUGAUCCUAUGGAAUGUGACCGGAAUAUAGAACUCAAACAUGCGGUGAAUAUGGCAUUUCGAUCAUAUAUGAAUCAGUGGGGGCAAAGAGUGAAAAAUCUUUCUCAAUGGAAGCAUGUUAAGGUGUUUCAAGACACUAUGACAUAUUUCAUGGGGAUGUUAAGUCUAGAGAACUUUUGGCCAAAUCUCAAGGAGUCAAAAUUCUCUAAUACAAAUUUAAAAUGGAAGGAUAUGGAUGUUGUUGGAUCACUAAUUAUUUUUCGGAGUAAGGAUCACUAAUUAUUUUCCGGAAUAGGGUGGGCAAGCGGGUGGGGCUACUUGGAGUGCAUGCUUUGAAAGCUACGGAUUGAGGAUUGGGUGAGGUUGAUUACGGUGUUUUUAUCUUCAAUGGUAAGGGAAGUGAAGAAAAGGGAUAUUUUUAGAUGAUUUGCAGCACUAAGGAGCCCUUUCUGAGAUGAUCGAGAUUCAAGAGCAUCAUUGAAUAAUCAAGAAGAAGGAUCGCGUUCAAGAGCCAAGACAAGUGAUGUCUCUAUUUGAUGAUGUCACACUAACGUUGACAUUCCUGUGUAGGGCCCGUUCCUAGCCCAAUUUUCUCACAUUUUUCUUGCAGUUAGGAUGUGGUUACCCUUAAUCCAUUCCCCUUUUUACCUUCAUUAUUGUUAGCUUCAUAUUUAGUUUUUUUUUUAUUUAUUAAUGUUGUUUGAUUUAUGAUUCGCUUUUUCGAUAUCCUAUCUAUGAAUUAGUUGCUUGGAUUCUCAAAGAUCCAAUA